GUUUAAUUAACACUUAAAAGAAUUAUACUCGUUGCAAAAGCUUUAAAAACGCACAUUUCACAGUCAUUAUUAUUCUUAUCCAUUCAAUCUGUGAUUAUUUAAAAUAACUAUUUCUGAAAAAAACAUAUGCUGUUGGGUGUUUUAGGGAGCUUUUUUGUUUUAAAAGAAAUCCCAUUCACUUUCGUGCAUCUGGUAAAAAAAAGGAUUCCAAAACAUGAAAAAAAAAAAAAAAAAAAAAAAGAAGUGUUCUUUUAAUUGAAAGCAGCUUGUGCUGAAUGAGGCUGGUUCAGGUGCUGUUUGUUGGGAGCUGUUUGCGUAAAAAACUCCACCAAACUCACUUUUUUGUAUCGAAUGCUACAUUUUUUAUGCCACCCGGCCUUGUAAUAAGUCACUUCUGCCACUUUUAAAGGACUUUUUGAAGGAAAAAUGAAGGAAUAAUGAGGAGUUUGACGCGUUUCUUGGCCGCUGCUGUUUGGAUCCAGCUGACCAGCUGAGAGAGAAAUUAUUAAAGCUACAAAUUACCGAGACCCAGAGGUUCCUUCCACCGGUGGUGAUGGCAAGCAGAUGGCAGCGAGAGCCAGGAGUCGGACCGAGCCCUCCUCCCCAGCACCCUCCCAUAAAGCGCCAUUUGCAUUUCAUGAGCCUUAAUUGUGUCUGUUGCCCUCCUCCCCACCGGCUCCCCGAUUUUGUGCCUGUCACCGAGCACCCCUGCGCCCCUUGAAGGAGCCGUGAUAGAUUAAGGUGGGCCUUCUGUUUGCAUCCCCCUCAUUGUGUUCCAGAAAUUAGAAAAUAUUAUCUCCCAGUCGAGUCAAAGUCAAAAAAAGACGAGGAGGGGGGAGGUUGUGGUUGGAGGCGGCGGUGCAGGAUGUGAUAGUGACAAUGGGUGUGAUAGGACAAGACGGGGAGAAUGUUUGAGGCAUUAAUGGGAAAAAGUGAUUAUUUUAAAAGCUCGUCCUUGACCCCGUGAUGGCAAAACAAUGAUGCGUGGAAACCCCCAGACACCUACACAGCACUGGGGUAAUAACGCACAUCAGUCAGCGUUGGAUAGACACAAUACAGUGGCUUUGCACCUCUUUCUAACCCUCCAGUUGUCCUCAUUUACAGGCACCAAAAAAUAUCGUUUCCUUGUCUGAAAAAAAAUCCAAAAAUUCAAUUCAUUUAAUCCCCCAAAUGUCUGAAAAUUUGGAAAAACCUUCAGGAAGAAAAUUCCAAUAAUUCCUCUAAAAUUUGCGUUAAAAGUUUUAUUUUUUUUAAAAAACCCCAAAUUUCACAAGAAAAUUAUUGUAAAUAUUUUCAAAAAAUGAGUAAAAAAUCUUACAAAAAAAAUCCUAAAAAUAUCUAAAGUGAUUCCAUAUAUA
ensembl:lncRNA